rnacentral:rRNA from 1 species
ACGACUACAUAUCAGGCAUAUCAAUAAGCGGAGGAAAAGCUCAAGGUGACGAAACUUGGGACGACCACUCUCAUUGGGGAGAGAAAGAAGACGGAAGAGACAUAGACGAUCAACUGCUCGAAGAACUUUGGGUAAAGCGUUUUGAAGACGCUACCGAGGCAAUCAAAAUCAAAGAAAAAAUAAUGGGGCGAGGUUUGUUACCGUUGUUUGCUCAAAGAAUGCUAGAAGAACUAACCAAGCCUCAAGCCGAUUGGCGAACGCUACUUGCCGAGUUCGUUAGUGAGCAAGUGGUGGAUUAUUCGCUUUUCCCGCCCGACCGCCGUUAUGACGAUAGCCCCUUUUAUAUGCCCGACUUUAACGGCACGGAAGUAGAAGUAAAGGACGUACUGUUUAUGGUGGAUACUUCGGGGUCUAUGAGCGAUACUGAAAUUACAGAGUGUUACAGCGAAGUUAAGGGCGCACUCGACCAGUACGACGGUAAAUUGCGUGGCUGGUUGGGAUUUUUCGACGGGGCUAUAAUCGAGCCAAAACCGUUCGAUAGCGUAGAAACGCUAAAAGAUAUUCGACCUGCUGGCGGAGGCGGUACGGACUUUGGGAUAAUCUUUAAGUAUGUUAAAGAAUAUAUGCAAUACAACUUGCCGGCAAGCAUUAUCAUUUUAACCGACGGAGGAGCACCGUUUCCGCCCGAAAGCGUGGCAAUGGGGAUACCUACGCUUAGGAUGUUGACGCGCGUGUGUGCGUG